UGGGACGUGGUGUACGGUGCACCGCUGCCUUCAAUAGGCCAUAACGAAUGUUAAACAACAGCAAGCCGGGGUUCGACUCCCCGCGUCCCAC